rfam:TPA: Bos taurus chromosome 9, whole genome shotgun sequence.
GGCACUCAGAUGGUAGAGAACCUGCCUUCAAUGCAGGAAACCCAGGUUUGAUUCCUGGGUCG